rnacentral:rRNA from 1 species
AGGACGAACGCUGGCGGCGUGCUUAACACAUGCAAGUCGAACGGUGAACCGGGCUUCGGCCCGGGGAUCAGUGGCGAACGGGUGCGUAACACGUGGGCAACCUGCCCCAGACACUGGGAUAACUCCGGGAAACCGGGGCUAAUACCGGAUACUCCGGUCGAACCUCAUGGUUCGAUCGGGAAAGCUCCGACGGUCUGGGAUGGGCCCGCGGCCUAUCAGCUUGUUGGCGAGGUAACGGCUCACCAAGGCGACGACGGGUAGCUGGUCUGAGAGGACGACCAGCCACACUGGAACUGAGAGACGGUCCAGACACCUACGGGUGGCAGCAGUCGAGAAUUUUUCACAAUGGGCGCAAGCCUGAUGGAGCGACGCCGCGUGGGGGAUGAAGGGUUUCGAUCCGUAAACCCUGUCAUUUGCGAACAUGGUUAUUCAAUAACACUGGAUAGCUUGAUAGUAGCGAAAGAGGAAGGGACGGCUAACUCUGUGCCAGCAGCCGCGGUAA